rnacentral:rRNA from 1 species
UACAGAGGUCCCAAGCGUUGUUCGGAUUUACUGGGCGUAAAGGGUGCGUAGGUGGCUGGGAAAGUCUGAUGUGAAAUCUCCGGGCUCAACUCGGAAAUGACAUUGGAAACUAUCUGGCUCGAGGGUCGGAGGGGAGACUGGAAUUCUCGGUGUAGCAGUGAAAUGCGUAGAUAUCGAGAGGAACACCAGUGGCGAAGGCGAGUCUCUGGACGAUACCUGACACUGAGGCACGAAAGCUAGGGGAGCAAACAGG